rnacentral:rRNA from 1 species
AUUGAACGCUGGCGGCAGGCCUAACACAUGCAAGUCGAGCGGAGCGGCGGACGGGUGAGUAAGGCAUAGGAAUCUGACUGGUAGAGGGGGAUAACGUCAGGAAACGGGCGCGAAUACAGCAUCCUAUCAGAUGAGCCUAGGUUGGAUUAGCUAGUUGGUGGGGUAAAGGCUUACCAAGGCGACGAUCCGUAACUGGCCUGAGAGGAUGAUCAGCCACACUGGAACUGAGACACGGUCCAGACUCCUACGGGAGGCAGCAGUGGGGAAUCUUCGACAAUGGGCGAAAGCCUGAUCCAGCCAUGCCGCGUGUGUUAAGAAGGUCUUCGGAUUGUAAAGCACUGUUAGUUGGGAGGCGGUACCAACAGAAUAAGCACCGGCUAACUACGUGCCAGCCGCCGCGGUAAUUC